rnacentral:snoRNA from 1 species
AAACCAUGUAUGGAGCAUUUUCUAGCCAAUUCCUUGAAUCGCUCCCAAGCUUCAUUCAAUGUCGAAAAGAUGUAAUAUCGUUCCUAAAUUU